GAUGAACGCUGGCGGCGUGCCUAACACAUGCAAGUCGAACGGAGUCAUUUUGGAAAGUUCUUCGGAACUGGAAUCUAUGACUUAGUGGCGGACGGGUGAGUAACACGUGGGUAACCUGCCCAAGAGACUGGGAUAACACCUGGAAACAGAUGCUAAUACCGGAUAACAACACUAGACGCAUGUCUAGAGUUUGAAAGAUGGUUCUGCUAUCACUCUUGGAUGGACCUGCGGUGCAUUAGCUAGUUGGUAAGGUAACGGCUUACCAAGGCAAUGAUGCAUAGCCGAGUUGAGAGACUGAUCGGCCACAUUGGGACUGAGACACGGCCCAA
rnacentral:rRNA from 1 species